UCUGUGUGCAGACAGGAGGCCGAUCACAUCCACGAUGAGAGGACUCACACUGCUCUGUUUGGUGGGAUUUAUUCUCACAGCUUCGGCCACACACUGGCACCCUCUUGAAAAUCCUCUUUCUUUUCCAACUGAACCAACAAGCAACGGGACCUUGCAUCCAAAUAAUUCUACUCAUGCUGGAAAUGCCACAGAGGUUCAUCACAACAAUACAGCUGCAGCAACAGUGAAAGAAGACGUGUGAUGCUAAAAAUGUUGAAGCGUGAAUCUUCACAGAGACAGACGACCGUGAUUCUGCUGGUGUUACCGUCUUCUCUGAAUAAACUAAAUAAACAUGUGUGC